GUGCAAACUCCAUACAGUCAAUACCCUCAAUCAGGAUUGAACCCAGGUCUCUGGUGCUCUACCAGCGGCGCCACUGUGUCAUCAGCUAAUAGUCAUGACCAACGCAAAGGAAGAUGGUGAUUUUAUUG